GACAAGUGGGGCAUGCUAUACAUGCAGUCGAGCGAAGAGAUGGGAGCUUGCUCCCAGAUCUUAGCGGCGGACGGGGAGUAACACGUGGGCAACCUGCCCUGCAGACUGGGAUAACUCCGGGAAACCGGAGCUAAUACCGGGUAAUACAUCGCACCGCAUGGUGCAAUGUUGAAAGUUGGCUUUCUGAGCUAACACUGCAGGAUGGGCCCGCGGCGCAUUAGCUAGUUGGUAAGGUAAUGGCUUACCAAGGCAACGAUGCGUAGCCGACCUGAGAGGGUGAUCGGCCACACUGGGACUGAGACACGGCCCAGACUCCUACGGGAGGCAGCAGUAGGGAAUCUUCCGCAAUGGACGAAAGUCUGACGGAGCAACGCCGCGUGAGUGACGAAGGCCUUCGGGUCGUAAAGCUCUGUUGUUAGGGAAGAACAAGUACCGUUCGAAUAGGGCGGUACCUUGACGGUACCUAACCAGAAAGCCACGGCUAACUACGUGCCAGCAGCCGCGGUAAUACGUAGGUGGCAAGCGUUGUCCGGAAUUAUUGGGCGUAAAGCGCGCGCAGGCGGUCUUUUAAGUCUGAUGUGAAAGCCCACGGCUCAACCGUGGAGGGUCAUUGGAAACUGGAGGACUUGAGUGCAGAAGAGGAGAGUGGAAUUCCACGUGUAGCGGUGAAAUGCGUAGAUAUGUGGAGGAACACCAGUGGCGAAGGCGGCUCUCUGGUCUGUAACUGACGCUGAGGCGCGAAAGCGUGGGGAGCAAACAGGAUUAGAUACCCUGGUAGUCCACGCCGUAAACGAUGAGUGCUAGGUGUUGGGGGGUUCCACCCUCAGUGCUGAAGUUAACACAUUAAGCACUCCGCCUGGGGAGUACGACCGCAAGGUUGAAACUCAAGGAAUUGACGGGGGCCCGCACAAGCAGUGGAGCAUGUGGUUUAUUCGAAGCAACGCGAGAACCUUACCAGGUCUUUGACAUCCUCUGACAAUCCUGGAGACAGGACGUUCCCUUUCGGGGACAGAGUGAACAGGUGGAUGCAUGGUUGUCGUCAGCUCCGUGUCGUGAGAUGUUGGGUUUAGAUCCCGCAACGGAGCGCCA
rnacentral:rRNA from 2 species